GCGUCGUCUUCAGAGUUUGAUCCUGGCUCAGGAUUAACGCUGGCGGCAUACCUAACACAUGCAAGUCGAACGAAAGUACUUUAGCUUGCUAAAAUACUUUAGUGGCGAACGGGUGAGUAACGCGUGAGUAAUCUGCCCUAUACUACGGGAUAACACAAAGAAAUUUGUGCUAAUACGGUAUGAAACAUAGGAUCGCAUGAUCUAAUGUUAAAAGAUUUAUCGGUAUAGGAUGAGCUCGCGUCCCAUUAGCUAGUUGGUGAGAUAAUAGCCCACCAAGGCCACGAUGGGUAGCCGGUCUGAGAGGAUGAACGGCCACAUUGGGACUGAGACACGGCCCAG
rnacentral:rRNA from 1 species